rnacentral:rRNA from 1 species
CCUACGGGUGGCAGCAGUGGGGAAUAUUGGACAAUGGACGCAAGUCUGACCCAGCCACGCCGCGUGAAGGAAGAAGGUUUUCGGGUUGUUAACUUCCUUUAAGCGGGAAGCGCAGAAGACGGUACCCCUUGAAUAAGCCACGGCUAACUACGGGCCAGCAGCCGCGGUAAUACGGAGGGUGCGAGCGUUAAUCGGAAUUACUGGGCGUAAAGGGAUCGUAGGCGGUAUGGCAAGUCAAGGGUGAAAUCCCCGGGCUCAACGUGGGAACUGCCUUUGAAACUGGCAAACUGGAGUGUGUGAGAGGAUAGUGGAAUUCCAGGUGUAGGAGUGAAAUCCGUAGAUGUCUGGAGGAACAUCAGUGGCGAAGGCGACUAUCUGGCACAUAACUGACGCUGAGGAGCGAAAGCGUGGGUAGCAAACAGGAUUAGAUACCCGUGUAGUC